rnacentral:lncRNA from 1 species
UGGCCCUGGGGGCCCCGGGGCCCGGCUCAGCCAGGCCCCCAGGGGGCAGUGCCUCCCCUUCCCCCUCCCGCAGCUGGGAGGGGAAAGGUGCGGGAAUCAAGCACUGGGAGCUACAGCUAGGACACCGGGGGAUGCAGCUCAAGGAGGUCCCCCCAAGGGGAGAGAUGUCCCCAAGGAAACUAGAGCAUCCUUAAGAAACUUUCAUGAAAGUCCACGCUGUGCCUUCUGCAGAUGGAAUUAGGUUGAAUCUUGAACUGAGUUGAUGGAAGAGGCAUUCAAAAAAGAGUUGAACUGGGCUUCUUCACUACAUAUCUUUACUGGUGCUGGGAAGAGAAUAGGGUCGUUAAUCCUUGAGAACAAUUUUGGAGGAGUAGACUCUGACCUCUGCACCCUUGCUUUUGACUUGAUUAGCCAGUUUUUGCUUCUUGGCUCUCUGUAG